UCUGCGGGUUCACAAAAACGAGCGGGGUAAGUGUAACUCACUUUGUAACCAAGUAGACGGUACUUGAUCAUCUGCGUGUCGUUCCGUCUUUCUACUUUCAAUUGGCAAUCAAACAUCCCAAAGUGUAAAGUGACAGAUUAUUGAGUUGCUUGCUUUUUUUUUUUAAUCCAACACAAACAUGGGAGGAACACCUGAUUUUCCUAAUGUCAUGGUGCCCUCAAAUGCUUAGCGGCUGUGAUCUGCUCAACAGGUAGGAGCUCUUAAUCUUGAAAUAAUUAGUGUGGAGGAGAGAAAAGGAAAUAAAGAGGCAAAGCAGAACAUGAAACAGACAAGCCAUGGUUUGAGUUAGUGGUUCAAGAAAAGUCCCAAAUCAAAUUGAUAGCCAAGUGGACAAAGAAGGAUGCAAGUCCCUCUGUGGACAAACUUCAAGAAUACCACUGACUAGUUAUGAACAUUCUCAUGUUAUGAUGCUCAUAUGUUUAAAUGUCAUGUUAGCCUGGCGAUUCGCUUAGUCGUUAGUUUUGCCACAUUUUAGGGUGUCCAAGUGUGAUUUUUUUUUUAACACCAUUCAGGACAUGACCCUAGCAAUUAGCUCAACAUGCUAAUGAUAACGUAAAAUGCAAUUCGUCAACCUCAAGUAACGUGUUCUAUAAAUGUGUUGACAUGGAGCCAAACUAGCAACCUUAGCCGAGCUUAGCAUAUCUUAAAGUGUGCUUGAGCAAUGUGGUCAUUUUGUUGGGAGGGAAUAAAGGCCUACUUCUUAGCUCGAGGAGAAAACAAAUUCAUAUGUUAUAAUGUGAUACAGUUAAUGUUUGAUGUAAUAAAUUUAAUCUGAUAAUUUGAAAAAUUAUCAGGCUCAAAUGGGAUCAGUUUUAUUUCUGUUUGGCAAAAAAAAAAAAAAAACAAUUCCUUCCAGUUCAGCUCACUAGUCCACCCCGUUUAUGGGUAUGUUUGUCUUUUAAAUAUUAAAUGAAUAAAAUUAAUUUUAAAAAACAAUUUAACAGUUUAUAGUUGGCGUAGCUAGUGACUUUGAUAAGACACAAAAAGGUCCGCCUGUGAGCUGAACCAGAAGGAGCUGCUUUGGUUUAUUAGCGGUAAAAAUAAUGGAUGAUGGAAGUCAAACUUGUCCCGUUUUCACACAUUAAAACGGUGUAAGCUUCCGCAAUUUCACGCAUUGAUGGCAUGACUGUUGGCUUUCGAAGUUUUCAAGCUGGUUUCAAGACCUCAAUCCAAAGACGCUAUAUGGAGGAAGAGAACCUGCCGUACUUCCAAGAGGUGCUGACACUCCUCGAUGAUCUUGUCCUCGCACGCCUUCUUUCCCAUCCCAAAGUCUCUCAGGUUGGUCAAAGUGAAGCGUCGCAUCUCCUUCCACGACUCUCCGUUGUUCCACAGGACACCUCGGCGUGCUGGAUCAGGGCCUCUUUCACUGUCUUAUAUCCGGCCAGAACCACCACUUUAUUGGGGCCCAUGUAGAAGGUGAACACCGGACCGUACUUCUUGGACAUCUUGGACCAAAGAGGUUGAGCUGGAGCAGGUUCCCGAGCAGCGGCAGCGGCCUGGGACCUGGGGGCUCCUGUCCCCCGGACUCCGUCGACCUGGAGGCCGACGACCAGGCCAUGUAGCCGACGAGCAGCGCCAGCGCGGAAGCGAGCACGUAGCUGGAGCUCAGCGGCAAGAAGUCGACCGAAACGUCCAUGUUUACGAGGCUGAAAAGAACGACCCCGAGCUUCCCUGUGGGUGCGUGACGGCUCGGUGAAACUGUGACGCUCACAUGCAGUCCAGCGCUCUGAGCUUGUGCGCUGUCGGACUGAUCGUGAAGCCAACGCGGGGAGUCAAGUCCAGGCUGUCCUCGGACACCCCCGGGGAAGGUUGGAAGCGGAAAUGCUGAAGCAGUGUGACGAAGAAGAUGAAGAGCUCCAUGCGGGCCAGGCUCUCUCCCAGGCAAGCCCUGCGACCUGCAAGCACAAUCAGUAAAUAGCGCGGCCGUGAGCAAAAUGUUUCCAUCAUGUGUCAUUUCCCUACCUGCAGAGAAAGGCAUAAAGGCGUCGUUCUUGACAAGCUUCCCAUCCUUAUCUAGAAAGUGGUCGGGGUGGAAGGAAUACGGCUUUUCCCAUUCGCUCUCGUCAUGGAGGACGGACGUCAGGAGGACGUAGACGGUAGUGUUCUGCGCAACAGUAAUCUCGAGAGACAGUUCCAGUCCUGAGAAAAGGUUUUAGUGUACCAGUCUUACCUUCUUGAUAAAGUAUCCUCGGAAGGUGACAUCCUGGCUGGUCCGGUGAGGGAGGGCUAUGGGUGCGAUGUUGGCCAGCCUCUGCGUCUCGUGUAUGACGGCAUCGGUGAAGGGCAGGUUCUUGCGGUCCUCCGUCCGGACUUGACGAUCUCCGAUCACCCUGGACACCUCCUCAUGGACCUUGUCUUUGUGGGUGAGCCAGGCCUUUAGGUUAUGAUGCAGAAGACUUGAGGUCUUUUUUUUCUGGUCUUACCUUGGAUUUCAGGAUACUUGGCCAUGAGAAGCAAGGACCACCUGAGCGUAGCAGCCGUGGUGUCGGUGCCGGCGGCAAAGAGGUUCUGAACUGUCCAUAUCAGGUUUUCGUCAUGGAAGUGACUGUUGGUGAUCCCGCUCUCCUGAACGCACCAAUAGACCAGCCAUUAAGCAAAAGACGUUUAAGAAGUUGCCAAAAGGCACCUGAAGAACUUUCAGACCACUAGAUACCAAAUUCUUGGGUCUGACGAGACAAUCGUUGAAGUCUUUGGUGUGAAUUCGAGUCACCACGUGAUCACCUUUUCCAGAUUAAUCUGGACUGAGGGGAAAAUGAAUGCUGUCAUUUUCAGAAGCAUACUCGAUGAAAACCUGUUCCGGUGCAUUCUUCACCUCAGACUGGCCUAAACGUUUAUCUUUUUCGCAGUUUUAUCAGCCCUACGCACACAGCUAGAUAGGAAAGGAGUGGCUUCAGGAUAACACUGAAUGACCGGUAUAUGACUCCAAUCUGAUUGAAUAUCUUUUCCUUUGACCUGCACAACAUUUGGGGGAUUUACCUUGUACAAUACAGUUUAUUUUCCGGAUUAUAAAGUGCACCUAAAACGAUUCCAUUUUCUCAAAAGCCGACAGUGUGCCUUAUAAUUCGGGGUGCCUUCUGUAUGGAUCAAUAUUCCGAUUUCUUGGACGUAGUAUUUUUAAAUGUUAUAGCUGCAGCAGUUGUGACAUCUUGAUAUAAAUAAAGCUGUAUUGUGUUGUA